rnacentral:rRNA from 1 species
CUUUACUGUAGCCUGGUAUUGGGUUCGGGCUUUGACUGCGCAGGAUAGGUGGGAGACUAUGAAGCUGCCCUUGUGGGGGCAGUGGAGUCAUCAGUGAGAUACCACUCUGUCAAGGCUAGAAUUCUAACCGUCUGCCGUUAUCCGGCGACGGAACAGCAUCAGGUGGGCAGUUUGACUGGGGCGGUCGCCUCCUAAAUGGUAACGGAGGCGCGCAAAGGUUCCCUCAGGCUGGUUGGAAAUCAGCCGAAGAGUGUAAAGGCAGUAGGGAGCUUGACUGCAAGAGCAACAACUCAAGCAGGGACGAAAGUCGGCCUUAGUGAUCCGACGGCGCUGAGUGGAAGGGCCGUCGCUCAACGGAUAAAAGUUA